rnacentral:rRNA from 1 species
UGGGAAUAUUGCGCAAUGGGCGAAAGCCUGACGCAGCGACGCCGCGUGAGGGAUGAAGGUCUUCGGAUCGUAAACCUCUGUCAGAAGGGAAAUGUACAGUGCUCCAAUCGACACUGUAUUGAUGGUACCUUCAGAGGAAGCACCGGCUAACUCCGUGCCAGCAGCCGCGGUAAUACGGAGGGUGCAAGCGUUAAUCGGAAUUACUGGGCGUAAAGCGCGCGUAGGUUGUUUGUAAGUCAGAGGUGUAAUCCCACGGCUUAACCGUGGAACUGCCUUUGAUACUGCAUAACUUGGAUCCGGGAGAGGACAGCGGAAUUCCAGGUGUAGGAGUGAAAUCCGUAGAUAUCUGGAAGAACAUCAGUGGCGAAGC